rnacentral:rRNA from 1 species
AUUGAACGCUGGCGGCAUGCCUUACACAUGCAAGUCGAACGGCAGCACGGGGGCAACCCUGGUGGCGAGUGGCGAACGGGUGAGUAAUAUAUCGGAACGUACCCUGGAGUGGGGGAUAACGUAGCGAAAGUUACGCUAAUACCGCAUACGAUCUAAGGAUGAAAGUGGGGGAUCGCAAGACCUCAUGCUCCCGGAGCGGCCGAUAUCUGAUUAGCUAGUUGGUGGGGUAAAGGCCUACCAAGGCAUCGAUCAGUAGCUGGUCCGAGAGGACGACCAGCCACACUGGGACUGAGACACGGCCCAGACUCCUACGGGAGGCAGCAGUGGGGAAUUUUGGACAAUGGGGGGCAACCCUGAUCCAGCAAUGCCGCGUGAGUGAAGAAGGCCUCGGUUGUAAGACUCUUUGUUCAGGGAAGAAACGGUUA